UAAAUAUGAAAAAAAACAAUAACGGGGAGAUAAGGUUCCCUCAACAUCAAUUAACCUCUAAACAACUGUCUGCGAAAAUCUCUAACAAAUGACUGAGUCAAGUAACCGUAUAUAAACUGGGACAAGGCCCCCAGUAGACCCUAAAACUGAAUAUAAUAUCAAAGGACUGCAGGACAUAAGACCUUCCAAAAUAUAGAAGGCUCACCACUUGUCUUUACAGCUCUG
rnacentral:lncRNA from 1 species